rnacentral:lncRNA from 10 species
CUGACUGUCAGGUUUCCUCUUAGCAAUAAGGGGGUCCAGGAAACGGUUGUCUUGCAAAUUAAGAAUUCUUUGCAAAAAUAGAAAACCAAAUGAUUUCCCAAAAUUACUGAGGUACUUAUUAGAGAAUAAGAAAGAUUAAGCUUUUUCUCUCAAUACAGGUGCGACCCAUCAUGGUUUCUGUAUGUGUUUUUCUAGCAAGACAAAUGCCGGGAACUGAUUGGCUUGUGUUUUAUCUCGCAUUGCCUUGGGAAAUGAGCCUACUGUGUGGUCUAAGAUACAGGAAAAGAAAUGAUGGGUUGAAUGCAAUCUCUGGGAGUUUCCACAUCUCUCUUGUCCACGUCUUCACUCAUAUCAUCUAGCACCACAUCAGGCGGCUACAGGGUGUUCGACAAAUAGCCCUUGCGCUCAUUCAUUCAUCUCUUCAAUUGUUCAUUUUUUAAUCACAUCUGUAUUCAGUCCUAUAUUCAAUGAAGCUUUUAAUGAAUGCCCACUCUAGUCAGUGCUUUAGACAGAGCAUGCUUAGUUGACAUGUGGGUAUUAGAAAUAAAACAUUGUCUAAAUUGAAAAAUAUAAGCUGGAAGAUAUUUCCAUUCAUGAUUUUGUCUCCACGUUUAGAUUCUGCAAAGAAUCCCUGAUGCAUAGGGCAUCAUCCCCGAUGGAGAAUUCUUCCUUUGGACAGACAACCCAAAUAAAGUUCUCUUUGAAAUGUUUGUGGAUGGGUAGAGAACUCUGGAUUGCAGCAGCUGGUACUUGAUGUAGAAAUUUGUUCCCAAAAUCACUGCUGUCGAGAGUGUAGAAAUGAGAACACUCAAGACAGCUGGUGGGUGGGAAAGUACAAUGGUGUAGCUGCCUUGGAAAACAGUUUGACUGUUCCUCAAAAUGUCAAAUGUAGUUCUCAUAUGGUCCAGUAAUUCUACUCCUAGGUUUGCACCUAAGAGAAAUAAAAAU